GCUGCUGCCCCCUGCUUCCCGCGCCCACUGAGGGGACCGGGGGUGUCUCCCCGCAGGCGGGCUGGUGGCGCUCCCUGGCCAGGGGCUGGCCGAGGUGGGAGCUGAGCCGGGUCGCCCGAGAGCCAGUGUGAAAAAUCCGGUUGGGAUUAAUAGUUGGGUACAAGACAAAGCCCCUAACGGGGGAUGGUCCCCAUGAGAGCUGGAGGUCCGGUCCGGUCCCCUCCCCCCCGGGCUGAGGGGGGUGCCUGUGACAGAGCCGUCAGCGCAGAGUCGGUGCGUGACUGAGGCAGCCCGGAUUUGGAGAGGCGUACAAAGGAAGCCUCCCCGGAGCAGGACCCCGCCACGGUCUCUUCUCUGCUGCACCUUCCCUUGGCCACUGAAGCCUGCUUCGCGGGAAGGCUGGCUCGGGGACCCAUGCCUGCCUCCCAGCUGAUUUUAAAAUGUCCAUGAUUUUUAAGCCCUGGGGAUUUUUUGGCUGGGCGGUUGUGGGAGAGCUGCCUGGGUGGCUAAAGGGAAGCAAGAGAGGGCAGGGGGGUCAGUAGUUAAGCCUGCUAAUUGCGCAAAGGAUCAGACCAGGCGACUCUCACGGGACAGCCCUUUCAGUUCCCAACAGGGAAUGAGGCUCCCAAGGCCCCUCGUAAAUUAAAGACAUUUAGAAAUAAUAGGGAAACAAGUUAGGUUUGCCAGGGAUGGCUCCCAUAUGGCAACUCCAGGUUCAGCACACUUGUAUUAGCAUAGCCAUGAUUUUGUGAGUUGCCAUAAUCAUGGGGGGGAAAUAAGGAUUAUUUUGGAUAUGAAACAAGCCCAUGCGGUUAGAUUGCUUAAUUUUCCAGUAUUUUCAUGAUUUAUGUAUGCCCUUGUAACCAUGGACACAUAAAUUCCUGAAAGUGUAAGGAUAACACUGUAACCCUACUCAUAAAGGGCUAGAUCAGGGGUCGGCAAACUACGGCCCGCAGGCCGGAGCUGUUUUAAGGCGGCCUGUGAGCUCCUGCUUGGGCACUGGGUCAGGGGCCGCACCUGCACUCCAGCCAGGGCGCCAGAUUGGGGGCUGCACCACGCGGCUCAACCCGGCUCUGGCGCUCCAGCCGGGGCACCAGGUCGGGGGUCACACCAUGUAGCUCCCAGCAGCUGCGGCAUGGCCCCACUCCAAGGGUCGGGGGCCGCUCCAUUCGUAGGAGCCGGAGAAGGGACAUGCCACUGCUUCCGGGAGCUGCUUGAGGUAAGCGCUGCUCAGACCCUACACCCCUGAACCUCUCCCCAUGCCCCAACCCCCUGUCGCAUCCCUAAUCCCACUCCCCCACUCUAAACCCCUCGAUCACAGCACAGAGCACUCUCCUGCACCCCAAAUCUCUCAUCCCCAUCCCCACCCCAGAGUCCACACACCCAACCAGACCCCUCACCCCCUCCUGCAUCCCAACCCCAAUUUUGUGAGCAUUCAUGGCCCGCCACACAAUUUCUAUUCUCCAAUGUGGCCCUCAGGCCAAAAAGUUUAUCCACCCCUGGGCUAGAUUGUGGUAUUUUGAGGUUGAAGAGUGCCUUACUCUCAAUUUUUUUAGUGAAUCCCCCUGAAGAAUAAGGUACUAUACUUAUAGUGAAUAACGGUGUCACAAUCGGGCCCAAAGUUCUUUAAGGUUAAGGCUCUUUUUAUACUAUGAACUGCAAAAACUGUUUUCAUGUCUCAAGUGUGAUGUAGCUACUUAAUUGCCAAAAACAUUUUGUUUUGAGACAUAUUAGGCCAAAUGAAACCCUUCCAUUGCGUGGCACAGGGGGGAGAAAAGCGCAGUAAAGAGGUGAAGUGAGUCUGGGAAUUCUACAUGCUGUAGUACUUUCCCUCCAAGCCAAAGAAUCUUCUGUACUUGGUUUGUCGUUACUUAUUUUCAUUUGCAUUGCAGCAGUGCCUACGAGCUCCAGCAGUAUUGGGUCCCAUCCUGUUAAGGGCUGUACAAACAGACAGAUAGACACAGUCUGCCAGCAUCCAUGGAUUCUGCUCCCAGAUAGGGUCCACGCCACAACCUGUGUCCCUUUUGAGCUGCUACUAAAGGUCCUUCCCCCUCUGCAGCCCAGACACACACCAGCAGGACCUGGGAUUCCGAACUGUCAUGGAGCAAUCAAAGAGGAAGUGCUUCCAUGAUGAACUUAUGGUGGACAUCCAGGACAAGGCCAACAAACAAUACCAAAGGGAAAAGGGUUCAUGGCAAAUGGAAAGGCACAGACAGGCUACAGAGCACCGGGAGUGAAUUGCAGGAAAACCCUGGAAUCAUGAACUUGUCCAGUGCAGCCCACUUUGGCGUCCAUAAAUCAGGCUGUGUGGUUCACAAGGGCCUGUAUAAUAAUGGAGUAGUACCUUUUGUGGUUCAUGUACUCAUGUGCUCCUUGAGCGGGGCAAACUGUGUACACGUGAUUGCCAUCAGUGGCCCCAGUGAAGUUUGGAAACCCCAUUCUCUCAAAACCAGCUAUUUUGAACACCAAAAAAUACAGCAUAGAUUUCAAGAUGACACUUCUCGGUAACAAUAAACAAUACACUCUGAAAAGCAGCCAACUGUAGUUGUCCAGUUCAACAUUAAAAAAACCUUGUCCAGUUCAACAUUAAUGAUUAAAUCUAGAAAUAAAAAAAACAAAAAGAACUUCUUUAGCAUGCAACCUAAUAAAAUAAAUUAUCAAAUUUUACUAUCGAUUUGCAGUAGACAAAACAUGAUUCACUUAAUGUUUGUAACAUGCUGGGGAGGAGAACUGCUAAGUUUUUUAUUAUUAAACAUGGUAAACUCACUAACAUACAUUGUGGCACCAUUGAAUUUACAGAUAGUUUUAGGUUAGGGAUCAUUUACUGGUCAUGACAGUAAACAAAUAUUGCUCAAGUCAUUUAGGAAAUGUUGUUCCCUGUGACUAACAUCCACCAGCAAAUUACACAGGCCUGCUAUUUAUUACCACUUGGGUGAUAUUAUGUUCUGCACAGUUUAGCCUGUCUCCACACUAAUCCUUAAGGUGUGUUUGUUUUUUAAACAUCUAUUUUGAGUUUAAUUCAAGUUGGCUGUAGUGCUACACAGCUGACAGCAUGGCAGCGGGAGGCGGCUGAUCGUUACCAAACUUGUGCCUGUAACGUAGUGUACUAUACGACUGCGACUCACAUAUGCCAGCUUGAACUGACUAAAAAAAUGUAUUGUCAUGUCAGUUUCUUUAUUGUCAAAAUGUGGAAUGGAGGGGCCAUAAUGAACCUUCUUUCUGACUUUUGUGUGUCAACAAAAUCUUCAAACAAAGGAAGGAAAAUCUGUUGUGGACAAGUAAAUGCUAUGUAUAGUUGCUAAAUAUUGGUGGAAAGUGGUCUUCCCUCUUCUGCCCCUGCACCCAUCUACAGUUUAUUUUCACUAUCAUGCAAUAGUGCAAAUAAACUUUUAUUUUUUUAAACAGAAUAAUCUCUAAAGGUGAGGCUUGGGGAAGCUUGGCUCUGGAUCCAAACUUGGCAGCUCAAACCACAUCUACUCUUUUUGUUUGUUUUUAAGAAUUUGCUUCUAAUGGAGCUCUUGAAAUGAGGGUCAAAGUUCAGAGAGCUAGGCUGGAGGACUUUAUUAGUAUUCUCAAGACCCUGUCUUGAAGUUUAAAUGUUAAAUAGGAAGUGUGACAUUUCCAGAACUCUUUGUGGGUUCAGUUGUACUUGAAUCUGAAUCAGAAUUCCUCUGUGUUCAUCUUGCCUAUAAGAAUUACAAGGCCACAGUAUGCAUGCUGUACGCUUUGUAUACACCCUUCAUUUGUAAACUGAGUGAAGUACACAUUCUGCAGCCAUGCUGGUGUGUACUUGCGUUUCUGCAAGCAACAGUCUGAAUUAUCAGAUUUUCAGUCCUAGAAUACUGAAUUGUAAUGAAAUGGCCGGCAACCAGUUGUGAAUUUUAAGCAAACUGUGUAAAAUAAUCAGCUGCAUCUUAAGGAAAGAAGCCCAAAAUCAGAUAUUUUUAAGUUCUGUUAAGAUUUCUUAUCUAGCCCUGUUAGGGAGUACACUCUAGAUUCAAAAUAAAAAUCAAAUUCUAGGUUGGUAAUUCAAGGUCAAGUAAAACUUAAUGCUAGGGUUUAUUCCAAGAAUACCACCAAUUAGCUACAAUCACCUUAUCAAAAUGUUGUGAUUAAUGGAAUAGAAGCUGCACUCUGCUGACAAUUUCCGAGGGUGUGGGUUUAGUAAGAUAUCAUUUGUCACACUCAGCAAUGCUAUUCCAGAAUUAUGCCGAGAUCAAAACCCUGAUUGGAAUCUAUCAAACCAAUAACUGCAGUUAGCCAAGUGACUGAGCAGUUGUGACAACAAAGCUUGCUGUGGGUACUGUGCUAUGAAAUGAAUAUGUGAAGCUGCUGCCAGUGUGUGACAAGCCCUGGGACAAGAGAGUAGCAGCAUGGUAAGUGCAAACAACAAUAGCACAGGAAUAAUAUAAAAAGUUUAGGAGGUGAAAUUAACAGGCCAUUGAUAGAUAUUUAUUUCUGAAUAAGAGACAUUCAAGUAACAUUUAGGUCUACUGCUUGUGAUUUAAACUCUCAAAACAUAUGCAGGGUAGUUUAGAUAUCUGCUCAUCUAAUCUCAUCAUAGAAGCUCAGUCCAGCUCCCAUUGAAUUCAAAGGAGCCUUGUCCUCACUGAGAUACUCACAAUUCUCCCAUUGUUGGUCUAGCAUAGACCUAACAGAAGCACUGCGUUCUUUAUUAUUACUAUUUGCUUGCUGGUAAUGCUGAAGGGCUGCAGCCAGGAAUCAGUGUGUUAGACACUGUACAAACACAUGUUAAAUAGAAAUUCCCUGCCCACAAAAGUUGACAUGGUGGUAGGUGAAAACACUUAUCCCGAGUCUACACUAGUGAUUCUAUCAUUGCUUGCCCCCAUGGAGCUACACUGGUGUUAAACAGUUAAUGCUGGUGGACAACAGCAUCGAUUCUCAGUGGGGAAGCAGCCUGGUGUUUUUGUGUCAGUGGAAGUAGGUUCUAACCUACAGUCACCUAAAAAGAACUGUAUCCUUCCUAGCUUCAAGCCUUGUUCUCCUUAUUCAGGCAAGUUGUCCCAUUGAAGUCUUCAGUGUUAUUGAAAUCUUGUAAUGUUGUUCAUCUCGUUGUCUCCUUCGUCUUUCCUACAUGCUUUUAACCUUUUAUCUUCAUUCUGUGGGAUUUUUUGGCUCUUCUGUAUCUUUAUUAUCAUCUAAAUAUAGUAACACUUCAGACUGUUUCUCUCACUACUGUAACUUUGGCUGUCAUUAAUUGAUUCUGCAUGCAGUUAUACCUAGCUUGCAUUCUAAUCAACUUUGGCAGAUUAUGCUUUUAAUUAGUUCUUUAAUAUUUCUCCACUCUCAUUUGCAGUGAUGGUGAUGCAUUGUAAGAACCCUUCACAUGUGUCAUUGUGGUUGCAUCUUGAAAGAAAAAAAGUCUUCCAAAUGGUUUGGGUGUGAAAAAUCUACCCAGUUUAUCAAAAUCAUGUUUUUAUCCUCUUCAGCUGGACUAGUGGAUAUGUUUGUGUGUUUUUUUUCCACGAUUGGAAUAAUACAUCACAAGUUACUUUUCCAUCAGGGGCAGGGAUUUGAUAAGCCCCCUACUAGAUCCACUCUCAAUGGUAUUCUGCACGAAUUGUAAAUCCCUGGAUCUGUCAGAUCUCUAUCCAACAGUGCUGUGGGCAUGGUUCUCCACUGAUUUGUUCUGGUAUAGUUAUUUAAACCUUAAAGUGAGUGUUAUCAGGGUGAGGAAAUUGAUGGAUCAAACUACUUGUCUUCCAUCAUCCCAUUGUUUUCAGGAUUUCACCCACUGAACAUAAAGAGCUCUGAAUAGUACUAAGGUAUUAUUGGGUCAAAUCUUGAGGUGCUUACUCGCUUGUUACUCAUUGUUUAUUCAGGCAAACUCCCACUGAUGCAGAGGACUGAAUAAAAACAGAGUAAGGACCUCAGAAUUCGACCCAUCCUUAAUAAUGAUUUGAAGUAUCUAUUACCUUUAAUACUCUCUGAUAGCCUAUGCUCUUACCUAAUUAAAUAUCAUUCUAAUUAACAUAAUGUUUUGUGUUAAAGAUGGGCAAUUUCUUGUCUGCCAACCUGUGUAUCUGACAGAUUAUUUGUAAAAACCUCCUUAUAGAAACACGUGGUUCAUUAAACUUUCACUGGUAGCUAUAUUCCCUGUCAGUUCUUUACUGUUUGGAUUUAACAAUAAUUAGAAUGAUCACUGCUGCAGACAUUGCCACUGUGAAAAGCACAUAUCUUGAGGAUAUCAAUUAUGCCUAAAAUUAUGGCUCAUUUUUGUUUAAGACAUUAUUGAGAUGUGUUUUCACAUCACAUCAGACAUAUGGUACUGCAUUAAAUACACUGGCAAAUAGUUCUGAGCAGUGGGGGAAUGUAUUCAUGGUAAUAAGGCCAAUAUUAAUUCACAUAUAGAAUUCUGAAUCUUUUUAAUUUUUACCCAUACUAGUGUAUUUGAGCACAGUAUAUAUGUUUGAGUUCAGGGCUUGUGAGGUCAUCAGGGUUUCUUUUUUGAAGUUACCUAAAAUAGUUUUUCAUGAGGAAGACAAAGAAGGUGAAAUCCCAGCCCCAUUGAUAUCAAUGGCCAAAAUAACUUUGUCCCUGGCUUGGUGGAGAUGUCUUGGAUCAAGUGCUUAAUGUUACAGGGAUCAGCCCUGCAAAGUGCUGGACAUUCUGACCCUGAUCCAGCAAAGCAUUUCAGUAUGUUUUUAACUUUAAGCAUGUGAUAAUUGCCUUGAUGGUUCUGGACCAGAGUGCUCAGCACCUUGAAGGAUCAAGUUCUUAAGCCAGAACCUUUUGGAAUAGUGAGGAAAAUAUUACUGCUGGGACUGGAACUAGGCAGGAAUAAUUUUUGCAGUGUUGUAUUUGUUGUGAGGUGGCUACAGUUUGAGUAUGCACAAGCCUAAACUGUGCUAUGUUUUUGCUUUUUACGAACCAUCUCUGUUCAAAGCCAUAUUCUGUAUGGAUAUUGGGCCAAAUCCUGGAGAUCUUACUCAUUCUAUUUAGGCAGAGUUCUCAUGAACUUUAGGGAAUGUAUAUACUGCAGUUGGGAGGAGUGAUUGCAGCACAUGUAGACAUACCCAAGUUAGUUUUGGCCUAGCUAAAUUCUAGUCCCCCAGCCUGUCCAGGACCAUGGAUACAUACUUGAGCAGCUGCAGCCUGUGGUACCUUGACUUCACUGCUACUGUUACUUGAGAUAGCUUUUCUCUAGCUAGAUCUCAGAUUAAUAAGGCAUGUCUACAUGUGCUGCAAUCAUACCUCCUGAGUAAGAACUGCAGGGUUUGGCCCACUGUACAUUAAACAGAUGAGGAUAAUUUAUUGUAUCUGUGUCCACGCUUGUAAAAAAGGAAAUAACCUUACUCCUAGGGUGAAAUCUUGGCCCCACUGAAACCAAUGGUGAAACUCCCAUUGACUUCAAGAGGGCAGGAUUUCACUUCUAGAGUCCAAAGCUUCCUGACUGCUCAGAAGUUGUGACCAUUUUGAGUCACUGCCUUUUGCAUAGUUUCUUGGGACACAGGUUGAGGGACAUACAGAAGUGUGAGGACCAGAGCUUCCUACUGAAUCAUUCUGGCUGUUGAAAAAGAAUAAAUAAUGGGGAGAGGAAGUCAACUCUUCAAGCUAAUGCUAAUCUCUGUGUGCAUCUAGUAUUCAAAUAAAAAGAGUUAUAACUGCAGGGUAGUCCAGGUUCUAAGAAGGGAAACUAACAUAUCAUGUUUGGCUGUUCCUUAGAAGCCCAGGAACCAAAUAACUUAAUAUGUGUUUAAAGUACUUUCCUAAUAUGAUUUCCCCAUUUUUCUAACCAUAAAGUGCAACUUCAAUAUAGUAGGAAUGUUUUUGGGCCCAUUUAGAAAUGUAUUCAUUGAAAAAAAGAGUUCCUUUAAAGAGAGAAUUUACUGGAAACAAACAACAUAUCUUUAAAAAUCAAAGUUAUUUAAAUCAAAUGAAGAGUUGCUUUCAGCAGCUUGUCCUUAUCCCCAGGUUUUAAUGAAAGCAACCCACAUCAGUUUAAUGUUCUUUCCAGUUACAAAAUCUCAGCCCUGGCAGUCUUUUCCUCUACUUUACCACGAACUGCCAGAAACGAAAGAUAUUUCCCAUUUGCUGAAAACUGCUGAAAACUGCAAACGAGAAAUCGUGUGUCACUCAGCUUUCAUGUCUGAAGCAUAGGCACAGUAGAGCAAAAUAUUUUAAUGCCGCCAUCAUUUCAGACCUAUGUAUUCAGUACUGCCAAUGCCAAAGGCCCACCAAAACCACAAAAUUAAAAAAACCCAAAACUCAUAAUUUUUAAGCCAAUCUUGUUUCUUUUUAAUUUGCCUUCUCAUUUGUGAGUCUUUAAGGUACAUUUGGGUAACAUUUUCAAGCUUUUCUCUGCAACCAUCAGAAAUAGAAAGUUGAUUUUUUUUUAAUCGCUCAAAACUGAGUUUCUCAUCUAGUUUAGGUGCUGGAACUUUAAGGAAAAUGCCAAAUAUUGCAAGGAUCCCAAUAAAAUUGUAAGAAUGGACAAUAGUAUUAACUUCCAUUCAAAAAACCCAAUUGUGUUAAAAUCACUUUGCGACCACAUUGCAAAGUCAAGCUCUCAAAAGUUAGGAAAAAUGAAAUUAUAAUGCAACCUUAAUAAAAGUGUUGCUACUACUCCACCUGUAACAAUUGCAAUAAUCAGAUUUAAUUGACUACAGAGAUAGGGCAGUCUACACAGAAUACUAAUCAGAAUAGUCCUGCUAAUACUUUGUCAUUAAGAAUAACCUUAGUACUUAAUAAGAAAAGAGAGCUGUGUUAGUUGUGUUCAUCAACAUCGCUCCAGUUCAGUUUCUAUCAGUAUUUCUAUUACAACCCCCUAAUUCCAAUGACUUCAUAAUUCAAGUUUUAUACAAAACUUUCACAAAAUCCUAUACUCUAUUUUACAUGUAAAUAAAAAGAAAGAACACAAAUUAAUCAGUGGCAUAAAACUAAGGCAAUGGAAAAGGGAGAUAUUGCACUGUAAUAUCAAGAUGCAAAGGUUAGCCUUCGAAGUGACAACACUGCCAGCAUAACUCUCCUCCCAGAUGCUGUCAUCCUGUUUCCUGUUCUACUUGUAUCACUUAGACUUUAAGCAUUUUGGGGUAGGAAAUCUGUCUAUAUAUUUUCUGUAAUGUGAUUUGCACGUCUAUGGCAUGAGAUGAAUAGUUUUGGUUUGAGUAAUUUUGGAAUCAACUGACUUGCUUCAUUUUCUGGUAGCAGCUUCUCAAGGAAAACAAUCCCCUGACUAAAUUCUCAAACAUCAUCAAGUCAAUGGAAGCUGAUUGCUUUUGAUCAUUCAUUUUUGAUCAUUCACACAAUUAUGUAAUGGGGUGGGAGCACAUUUUGUAAAUCCAAAUAUGUAUUUUUAUUAUUAGGGCUGGUCAAACUUCUCCAAAUUUUUGAUUUUUCAGUGAAAUUUUUCAUCAAACUUUUGAGAGAUGAUUGGAAAAACAGGAUGAUUUUUGUACAAAUAUGUUUUUUAACCAGCUAUGGGACCGAUUAAAAUUUUCUGAAUUUUGAACUUUCAAUGAAAAAUUUUCUCAAAAUGUUGACAAUAAAAAGGAAAAUUUUUGCAAAUAUUUAUGUGAAAUGUGGUCUCAUUUUUUUUAUCAGCUCUAAUUAUAAUUUUUUUCUUCUAGCAGCAAAUGUUAUCUCUGUAAAAUAUAAUGUAUAUAUAAUGGGCCAAAUUCACCUUCUGUAGCUCUGUAGAAAUAAACAACAGUUUUAACUGUG